UUAGUUAAUUAAUUAUACGAAAGGUUCGUAUUGGGCUUAUAUGUUGGUUUUGGGUUUCGGGGCCCAAAAACGUUUUGGUCCAAAAGGCCCAUUAUGUUUAAGUUGUAUGACAACUAAAACAAAAUGGGCAAAUAGCCCAAUAACACCAAGGAGGCCGGCCAUUAGGGUUGGAUGGGCAAAGUUUGCUUAAUUGCAAGCUUGCCACUCACCAAAGAAAUGAAGUAUAAAUUCAACUUUAUAGCUUUAGGGUUUGGUAAGUUGAAAUUGGGUGAGACAUUUUCUCUCUAUUUCUUCUUAGAGGCCGGCCAUUAAAGGAAGAAAACAUCUAGCAAUCUCUUCUUCUUUUAAUCAUCCAUAUCAUCUUCACAAGAUACAACCUUGGUGAAGAGACUUAGAGACAUCAAGCUUUUGGUGUUUUGGAGAACAAAUCCUUUUUCCUCAAAUCAUCAAAGGAGCACUAAAGGGAGUAAAACACAAGAAGGAUUCAAGGAGCUUGGAGGUGACUUGAAGGCCCUCCACUUGGGUGAAUCCCUUGUGUAAACAAGGAUGAGCUUCAAGGGUAAAGAAUCACUAAAUUCUUCUUUCUCUUUAAUGUUGUUAAAGAGUUUAUUUUGGUUCACCACAUACUAGGCUUUGAAAGUCAUGGGUUUUAUUGAAUUGUUU
rnacentral:lncRNA from 1 species